rnacentral:rRNA from 2 species
GCAUCGGAAACUGGAUAACUUGAGUGCAGAAGAGGGUAGUGGAACUCCAUGUGUAGCGGUGGAAUGCGUAGAUAUAUGGAAGAACACCAGUGGCAUAGGCGGCUACCUAGUCUGUAACUGACGCUGAGGCUCGAAAGCAUGGGUAGCAAACAGGAUUAGAUACCCUGGUAGUCCAUGCCGUAAACGAUGAAUACUAGGUGUUAGGGGGUUUCCGCCCCUUAGUGCCGCAGCUAACGCAAUAAGUAUUCCGCCUGGGGAGUACGACCGCAAGGUUGAAACUCAAAGGAAUUGACGGGGACCCGCACAAGCGGUGGAGCAUGUGGUUUAAUUCGAAGCUACGCGAAGAACCUUACCAGGGCUUGACAUCUUCUGCUAAUCCGAGAGAUCGGACGUUCCCUUCGGGGACGGAAAGACAGGUGGUGCAUGGUUGUCACCAGCUCGUGUCGUGAGAUGUUAUGUUAAGUCCCGCAACGAGCGCAACCCUUAUGAUUAGUUGCCAGCAUUAAGUUGGGCACUCUAAUGAGACUGCCGGUGACAAACCGGAGGAAGGUGGGGACGACGUCA